UAUUCGUCAGUGUAUAAGUGCACAAAAAGUUUUGAUCUUUUUUGAAAUGGUGCAAUUCCAUUACGUAUAU
rnacentral:tRNA from 1 species